rnacentral:ncRNA from 1 species
UUGAUAGAGGUUGCGAAAUUCAAAAGUAAACAAACUAAGAUUUAGUAGGUCAAAGAGGUUUGUUGAAAGGGAAGUUCGCCGAAGUUCAACUUUUUCUACUAGAAAGAUGAGCUGGGUGUAUAAAGAAGAUUUAUACAACUGUCACCGAAAUGGUGUUGUGCUAUC